GGUAACAUUUCUAGCUUGCUAGAAGAUGACGAGUGGCGGACGGGUGAGUAAUGCUUGGGAACUUGCCUUUGCGAGGGGGAUAACAGUUGGAAACGACUGCUAAUACCGCAUAAUGUCUUCGGACCAAACGGGGCUUCGGCUCCGGCGCAAAGAGAGGCCCAAGUGAGAUUAGCUAGUUGGUAAGGUAACGGCUUACCAAGGCGACGAUCUCUAGCUGUUCUGAGAGGAAGAUCAGCCACACUGGGACUGAGACACGGCCCAGACUCCUACGGGAGGCAGCAGUGGGGAAUAUUGCACAAUGGGGGAAACCCUGAUGCAGCCAUGCCGCGUGUGUGAAGAAGGCCUUCGGGUUGUAAAGCACUUUCAGUUGUGAGGAAAAGUUAGUAGUUAAUACCUGCUAGCCGUGACGUUAACAACAGAAGAAGCACCGGCUAACUCCGUGCCAGCAGCCGCGGUAAUACGGAGGGUGCGAGCGUUAAUCGGAAUUACUGGGCGUAAAGCGCACGCAGGCGGUUUGUUAAGCUAGAUGUGAAAGCCCCGGGCUCAACCUGGGAUGGUCAUUUAGAACUGGCAGACUAGAGUCUUGGAGAGGGGAGUGGAAUUCCAGGUGUAGCGGUGAAAUGCGUAGAUAUCUGGAGGAACAUCAGUGGCGAAGGCGACUCCCUGGCCAAAGACUGACGCUCAUGUGCGAAAGUGUGGGUAGCGAACAGGAUUAGAUACCCUGGUAGUCCACACCGUAAACGCUGUCUACUAGCUGUGUGUGUCUUUAAGACGUGCGUAGCGAAGCUAACGCGCUAAGUAGACCGCCUGGGGAGUACGGCCGCAAGGUUAAAACUCAAAUGAAUUUGACGGGGGCCCGCACAAGCG
rnacentral:rRNA from 1 species